rnacentral:rRNA from 1 species
GACGAACGCUGGCGGCGUGCUUAACACAUGCAAGUCGAACGAUGAUGCCAGCUUGCUGGUGGAUUAGUGGCGCACGGGUGAGUAACACGUGAGCAACCUGCCCCUGACUUCGGGAUAACCGCGGGAAACCGUGGCUAAUACCGGAUAUGACGCGCUAUCGCAUGGUGGUGUGUGGAAAGAUUUAUCGGUUGGGGAUGGGCUCGCGGCCUAUCAGCUUGUUGGUGGGGUGAUGGCCUACCAAGGCGACGACGGGUAGCCGGCCUGAGAGGGUGACCGGCCACACUGGGACUGAGACACGGCCCAGACUCCUACGGGAGGCAGCAGUGGGGAAUAUUGCACAAUGGGCGCAAGCCUGAUGCAGCGACGCCGCGUGAGGGAUGACGGCCUUCGGGUUGUAAACCUCUUUCAGUAGGGAAGAAGGCCUUCGGGUUGACGGUACCUGCAGAAGAAGCGCCGGCUAACUACGUG